CACGUAGGGUGCGAGCGUUGUCCGGAAUUACUGGGCGUAAAGCGCACGUAGGCGGCUUUGUAAGUUAGAGGUGAAAGCCCAGGGCUUAACCCUGGAAUUGCCUUUAAGACUGCAUCGCUAGAAUUGUGGAGAGGUAAGUGGAAUUCCGAGUGUAGAGGUGAAAUUCGUAGAUAUUCGGAAGAACACCAGUGGCGAAGGCGACUUACUGGACACAUAUUGACGCUGAGGUGCGAAAGCGUGGGGAGCAAACAGG
rnacentral:rRNA from 1 species